rnacentral:misc_RNA from 1 species
GUUUGAUUAUGGCUCAGAUUGAACGCUGGCCAGGAUGCUUUACACAUGCAGGUCGAACGGCACGGACUUCGGUCUGGUGGCGAAAGUGGCGAACGGGUGAUAAUGUAUCCGGAACGUGCCUAGUAGCGGGGGAUAACUACGCGAAAGCGUAGCUAAUACCGCAUACGCCCUUCAGGAAAAGCAGGGGACCUUCGGGCCUCGCACUAUUAGAGCGGCCGAUAUCGGAUUAGCCUGGUUGGUGAAA